GACGAACGCUGGCGGCGUGCUUAACACAUGCAAGUCGAACGGAAAGGCCCUGCUUUUGUGGGGUGCUCGAGUGGCGAACGGGUGAGUAACACGUGAGUAACCUGCCCUUGACUUUGGGAUAACUUCAGGAAACUGGGGCUAAUACCGGAUAGGAGCUCCUGCUGCAUGGUGGGGGUUGGAAAGUUUCGGCGGUUGGGGAUGGACUCGCGGCUUAUCAGCUUGUUGGUGGGGUAGUGGCUUACCAAGGCUUUGACGGGUAGCCGGCCUGAGAGGGUGACCGGCCACAUUGGGACUGAGAUACGGCCCAGACUCCUACGGGAGGCAGCAGUGGGGAAUAUUGCACAAUGGGCGGAAGCCUGAUGCAGCAACGCCGCGUGCGGGAUGACGGCCUUCGGGUUGUAAACCGCUUUCGCCUGUGACGAAGCGUGAGUGACGAUAAUGGGUAAAGAAGCACCGGCUAACUACGUGCCAGCAGCCGCGGUGAUACGUAGGGUGCGAGCGUUGUCCGGAUUUAUUGGGCGUAAAGGGCUCGUAGGUGGUUGAUCGCGUCGGAAGUGUAAUCUUGGGGCUUAACCCUGAGCGUGCUUUCGAUACGGGUUGACUUGAGGAAGGUAGGGGAGAAUGGAAUUCCUGGUGGAGCGGUGGAAUGCGCAGAUAUCAGGAGGAACACCAGUGGCGAAGGCGGUUCUCUGGGCCUUUCCUGACGCUGAGGAGCGAAAGCGUGGGGAGCGAACAGGCUUAGAUACCCUGGUAGUCCACGCUGUAAACGGUGGGUACUAGGUGUGGGGUCCAUUCCACGGGUUCCGUGCCGUAGCUAACGCUUUAAGUACCCCGCCUGGGGAGUACGGCCGCAAGGCUAAAACUCAAAGGAAUUGACGGGGCCCCGCACAAGCGGCGGAGCAUGCGGAUUAAUUCGAUGCAACGCGUAGAACCUUACCUGGGUUUGACAUGGAUCGGGAGCGCUCAGAGAUGGGUGUGCCUCUUUUGGGGUCGGUUCACAGGUGGUGCAUGGCUGUCGUCAGCUCGUGUCGUGAGAUGUUGGGUUAAGUCCCGCAACGAGCGCAACCCUUGUUCACUGUUGCCAGCACGUUAUGGUGGGGACUCAGUGGAGACCGCCGGGGUCAACUCGGAGGAAGGUGGGGAUGACGUCAAGUCAUCAUGCCCCUUAUGUCCAGGGCUUCACGCAUGCUACAAUGGCUGGUACAGAGAGUGGCGAGCCUGUGAGGGUGAGCGAAUCUCGGAAAGCCGGUCUCAGUUCGGAUUGGGGUCUGCAACUCGACCUCAUGAAGUCGGAGUCGCUAGUAAUCGCAGAUCAGCAACGCUGCGGUGAAUACGUUCCCGGGGCU
rnacentral:rRNA from 1 species